CAGCAGCCGCGGUAAUACGAAGGGGGCUAGCGUUGUUCGGAUUUACUGGGCGUAAAGGGCGCGUAGGCGGGCGAAUAAGUCAGGGGUGAAAUCCCAAGGCUCAACCUUGGAACUGCCUUUGAUACUGUUUGUCUUGAGUUCGAGAGAGGUAAGUGGAACUGCGAGUGUAGAGGUGAAAUUCGUAGAUAUUCGGAAGAACACCAGUGGCGAAGGCGACUGACUGGACAAGUAUUGACACUGAGAGACGAAAGCUAGGGGAGCAAAUGGGAUUAGAUACCCCGUAGUCCCUGUCUCUUAUACC
rnacentral:rRNA from 1 species